AAGUGAAACCUAGCAGAGGGUGUGGUUUCCUUCAAAGAGAAGUGCUCCUUUGUCGUCUGUUGGACAAGUUACGCAUUAUGUGAAAAUAUGUUGAAGAAGUUAAUGGUGGUCAUUGCAAUGGAAUGAUUUGGGAGAGUUGCAGACUAUGGCCUGGACUUCAGGAGGUUCACUCUUUAUUUCUCAAGGGAGUAAUUGAAUUCAUGUUUGAGUAAAGCAAAUGACACAGAAAUUUUUACUGCAAUGCGUGGAGAAUUUGGCAACCAAAAAUCAACAAUGGACUAAAAUUACAGAGCAUCCACUAUGGUCCAUGGAGCAUCUCACUGUGGGCACAAGAAUACUUGAUUGAGUACACUAGAUUAAGAAACAUUGCAAAUUAAUUUAUGCUUCUUUUUUUUUUUUUUUUUGGUUUA